UACGGGGGGGGCAAGCGUUGUUCGGAAUUACUGGGCGUAAAGGGCUCGUAGGCGGCCAACUAAGUCAGACGUGAAAUCCCCAGGCUUAACCUGGGAACUGCGUCUGAUACUGGAUGGCUUGAAUUCGGGAGAGGGAUGCAGAAUUCCAGGUGUAGCGGUGAAAUGCGUAGAUAUCUGGAGGAAUACCGGUGGCGAAGGCGGCAUCCUGGACCGACAUUGACGCUGAGGAGCGAAAGCGAGGGGAGCAAACGGG
rnacentral:rRNA from 1 species